rnacentral:rRNA from 1 species
UACGGGGGGGGGCAAGCGUUGUUCGGAAUUACUGGGCGUAAAGGGCUCGUAGGCGGUCUGUUGCGUCGGGAGUGAAAACUUACAGCUUAACUGUGAGCGUGCUUUCGAUACGGGCAGACUUGAGGCAUUCAGGGGAGAACGGAAUUCCUGGUGUAGCGGUGAAAUGCGCAGAUAUCAGGAGGAACACCGGUGGCGAAGGCGGUUCUCUGGGAAUGUCCUGACGCUGAGGAGCGAAAGUGUGGGGAGCGAACAGG